rfam:Glycine max cultivar Williams 82 chromosome 12, whole genome shotgun sequence.
ACCAAUUCUGGGGGAUAUUUAGUUCCUCUUGGUAUAAUGGCUCGGACGCAAUAUACACGAAGUGGUCAUCCUGAUUGAUGGUUUAAUUAUAAUACCAUUCGGUCUUGGAAACGCCACCAACAUUG